UACGUAGGGUGCAAGCGUUAAUCGGAAUUACUGGGCGUAAAGCGUGCGCAGGCGGCUAUGCAAGACAGAUGUGAAAUCCCCGGGCUCAACCCUGGGAACUGCAUUUGUGACUGCAUGGCUAGAGUACGGUAGAGGGGAUGGAAUUCCGCGUGUAGCAGUGAAAUGCGUAGAUAUGCGGAGGAACACCGAUGGCGAAGGCAAUCCCCUGGACCUGUACUGACGCUCAUGCACGAAAGCGUGGGGAGCAAACAGG
rnacentral:rRNA from 1 species